rnacentral:rRNA from 1 species
GAUGAACGCUGGCGGCGUGCCUAAUACAUGCAAGUCGAGCGAACAGACGAGAAGCUUGCUCCUCUGACGUUAGCGGCGGACGGGUGAGUAACACGUGGAUAACCUACCUAUAAGACUGGGAUAACUUCGGGAAACCGGAGCUAAUACCGGAUGAUAUAUUGAACCGCAUGGUUCAAUAGUGAAAGACGGUUUUGCUGUCACUUAUAGAUGGAUCCGCGCUGCAUUAGCUAGUUGGUAAGGUAACGGCUUACCAAGGCGACGAUGCGUAGCCGACCUGAGAGGGUGAUCGGCCACACUGGAACUGAGACACGGUCCAGACUCCUACGGGAGGCAGCAGUAGGGAAUCUUCCGCAAUGGGCGAAAGCCUGACGGAGCAACGCCGCGUGAGUGAUGAAGGUCUUCGGAUCGUAAAACUCUGUUAUUAGGGAAGAACAAAUGUGUAAGUAACUAUGCACGUCUUGACGGUACCUAAUCAGAAAGCCACGGCUAACUACGUG